AUGGACCCCCCCUCCCCUAGGAUUCCGAGGUGCCCCCAAGCGGGACCCGGGCCCUCCAAAUCCCAAGGGCGAAGGACUGCUCCCUUACCCCAACCUUCUAGUGGUGGGCGGGAGGGGAACCCGGGUCCACGACGGGAACGGGAUGCACACCCCCCAGGGUUGCGCUACCAGGGUGUGCUUGGAGCUCUUGGGUUUGCUUUUUUUCAUUUUCUUAAUUGGAGGGAGGGGACGACCAACUCCCUUUGGCGCAUUCUGAUCCUCAGCGAUCCGAAUUCUGGAUGCCCCCAAAGAACCCACCUGCAGUCCACCGCCCCACCCAACGUUACUCUCCUUGCUGGGGUGACAAGUGGAAGCAGCAACUCCCCUCCUCCUCCCCCUCCAGCCUCCGGAUUUGGGAGGCAAUGUUCCACCAGGGUUUUCCCCGCCGUCCGCAGUGGACCCGCUGGCGGGAGGCGGCGGCGGGAAGCGGCGCCCCGGAGCCGGGGACCGGGAGCGGGCGAGGCCAGGCCCGGCGCGGCGCUUACCUCGUCCACGGCCGGUCGCCGAGGCGCUCCAGGGUCUCGCUGGAUGUACCCCGGGUGCCACGGUGCUCUGUCCAGCCACUCUGGAUAGCUUCUGGGUCCAAGUAAACAAGUCCAGCGCUGGAGAGGCAACGGGAUUUGGGAGCAAAAGAGCAAACCUGUGCCUGGUUUCCUAACUGGUUUCAGAGCAGGAAUGCAGAAACAGCAAAGUGCAACACG
rnacentral:lncRNA from 1 species